rnacentral:rRNA from 1 species
CCCUUAGAUGUUCGGGGCUGCACACGCGCUACACUGGAGGAAACAGCGUGUAUUGUCCUGGUCCGAAAGGACUGGGUAAACCUGUGAAACUUCUCCGUGCUUGGGAUAGCGGAUUGAAAUUGUUUCGCUUCAACGAGGAAUUCCUAGUAAGCGUAAGUCAUAAGCUUGCGCUGAUUACGUCCCUGCCCUUUGUACACACCGCCCGUCGCUCCUACCGAUUGAGUGGUCCGGUGAGGCUUUGGGAUCUGAGCGGAAAGAGCGUUUCGCUGUUUCUGCUCGGAAAACUCAGUCGAACCUUAUCAUUUAGAGGAAGGAGAAGUCGUAACA